rnacentral:rRNA from 1 species
AACGAACGCUGGCGGCGUGCCUAACACAUGCAAGUCGAGCGCGAAAGGAGCAAUCCGAGUAGAGCGGCGCACGGGUGCGUAACACGUGGAUAAUCUGCCUCAGGGUUGAGGAUAACCUUCCGAAAGGUUGGCUAAUACUCGGUAAGCUUACGGUGACUUCGGUCGCUGUGAGAAAACUAGACCUCUAUUUAUAAGUUUAGGCCCAGAGAUGAGUCCGCGGCCCAUCAGCUAGUUGGCGGGGUAACGGCCCACCAAGGCUACGACGGGUAGCUGGUCUGAGAGAACGAUCAGCCACACUGGAACUGAGACACGGUCCAGACUCCUACGGGAGGCAGCAGUGGGGAAUUUUCCACAAUGGGCGAAAGCCUGAUGGAGCAACGCCGCGUGUGUGAUGAAGGUCUUCGGAUCGUAAAGCACUUUCGACUGGGACGAAAAACCUUUGGCUAACAUCCAGGGGCCUGACGGUACCAGGAGAAGAAGCACCGGCUAACUCUGUGCCAGCCGCCGCAGUAAUAC